GCAGCAUGUGAUUAGUGUAUGGGGUGGGGUGUGGUUCAUGUUGUGUGUGGUUCAUGUUUCGUGUGUGGUUCAUGUUUCGUGUGGUCUUUGUGGUUGGUUUGUGUGGUGUGGGUUGUGGUCUUAAUUAUGCUUCUAUUUUUUUUUUUCAAUUCUCUUUACAGAUGGGUGAGAACGGCAGGCAUCAAAAUUGAUGUGAAUCACUCUUGAAAUGCCAGUAGCUUUUGAGAAGGAUUCUAGCUACAGCAGCACCAAUUUGUAAUUAGCGUCAAUUUAGAGCUCAAAUGAUUUUUAGUUUUAUCUAGAUUACUUCUUGCACUAUAAUGUUUUAUCAUAUUAUAGUAUUUCAUUGAAUUUUUCCUUGCCGACCAUCAAAUCUGAUUUGGUGCCGCUGUAGUUUCCUGUCGUUGGCGUCAUGGCAAAAUAUUGGAGCAAAAGCUUUAAUGUCUUGCUCCUCCCCGUGGUCUCACCUGGGAAGAAAUUAUAUGCCUCUUAUUGCCUCUGAAAGGUUGAAUUACUUUCUAUCGCUCCAGAUCAGGAAUAAGAUAAGUUACGUUUCUAUUGCCAGCAAAGAGAGCAUAUGAUUUCUUGCUAAACGCCUAAAAUAGGGAUUUUCAGUUUUUUGUUUUUGUUUUUACAACUAUUGCUGAUAAUUAAACCACUUCGGAAUCUGUCAGACCCUAGAAUUGAGCAGCCAAGGGCCCAUACUUGAGUUAAUGAUGUCUUCGCCAACCACUGAGGAUCUUUGACUCCAUUCUUCGGUGGAAUUUCCAUUUAAGAAGUUUAAGCAAGAUCUGCUUGUGAAGUUCCAAGUGUGGAUCUUUGACCACGCCUACCUUUCAGUGACCCGCAGUCUUCAGUUGUUGCUUCAUCUGGCCUGCCAACUUGGUAAGGAGACCAAGAUCCAGCUCUUUGGUCAUAUCUUGAAGUCCCUCUAUGAACUCGUGUAGAGGAUAUCUUCUCUAUGAUUUACGCUGCGAUGAUUGUUAGUGAAUCCCUCCCGAGCACUGCCUAAAUCAUAAGUUACUGUUUCUCUAAAUAUAUUUUUCUGAUGCCUUGAAGCCUCAAACUGUUCCCUGCAAUGCGAUUUGAAGUACUUACUGAAGGAAACUUUAAUAAAAGUUAAAUUUUUACACCGUU